GGAAUAUAAAAAUUGGUUUCUUAACUUUUAAUUAAAAAAAAUUAAAAACCGGCUUUUAAAUAAGAUAUUUAAGAACUGGUUCUUAACUUUUUAGUUAAAAGUUAAGAUACAAAUUCUUAUAUUCC
rnacentral:pre_miRNA from 1 species